GAUGAACGCUGACAGAAUGCUUAACACAUGCAAGUCUUUGGCGAAGCUGUGCUUGCACAGCCUAGCCAAGGCGGACGGGUGAGUAACGCGUAAGGAACUUGCCCUGCAGUCAGGGAUAACAGACGGAAACGACUGAUAAGACCUGGUAAAGUCAGGCGGACUCAUGUCCAGCCUGAUGAAAAGAGAUGCUGCAGGAGAGCCUUGCGUCCUAUUAGCUUGUUGGUGGGGUAACGGCCCACCAAGGCGGUGAUAGGUAGCCGGCCUGAGAGGGUGGACGGCCACACUGGGACUGAGACGAGGGCCAGACGACUACGGGAGGCAGCAGUAGGGAAUAUUCGGAAAUGGACGAAAGUCUGAACGAGCAAAGCAGCGUGAGUGAAGAAGGUUUUAGGAUCGUAAAGAUAUGUUGUAAGAGAAGAAAGGGUGUGAGAGUGGAAAGUUCACAAUGUGACGGUAUCUUAACAGAAAGGGACGGCUAACUACGUG
rnacentral:rRNA from 1 species